rnacentral:rRNA from 1 species
GGGUGAGUAACACGUAUGUAACCUGCCCUAUGCAGGGGGAUAACCCGGAGAAAUCCGGCCUAAUACCGCGUAACACCUUUUGGGAGCAUUCCCGGGAGGUUAAAGGAGAGAUCCGGCAUAGGAUGGACAUGCGUCGCAUUAGGUAGACGGCGGGGUAACGGCCCACCGUGCCGACGAUGCGUAGGGGUUCUGAGAGGAAGGCCCCCCACACUGGUACUGAGACACGGACCAGACUCCUACGGGAGGCAGCAGUGAGGAAUAUUGGUCAAUGGCCGAGAGGCUGAACCAGCCAAGUCGCGUGAGGGAAGAAUGUCCUAAGGAUUGUAAACCUCUUUUGUCGGGGAGCAAAAAGGCUCUGCGGAGUCGUAUUGAGAGUAUCCGAAGAAAAAGCAUCGGCUAACUCCGUGCCAGCGGCCGCGGUAAUACGGAGGAUGCGAGCGUUAUCCGGAUUUAUUGGGUUUAAAGGGUGCGCAGGCGGCGUGUCAAGCAAGCGGUAAAAUAGCGGGGCUCAACCCCGUCGAGCCGUUUGAACUGGCGCGCUUGAGUUCAGGCGAGGUAGGCGGAAUUCGUGGUGUAGCGGUGAAAUGCAUAGAUAUCACGAAGAACUCCGAUUGCGAAGGCAGCUUACCAGUCUGCGACUGACGCUCAGGCACGAAAGUGUGGGUAUCGAACAGGAUUAGAUACCCUGGUAGUCCACACAGUAAACGAU